rnacentral:rRNA from 1 species
CCUACGGGUGGCUGCAGUCGAGAAUCAUUCACAAUGGGGGAAACCCUGAUGGUGCGACGCCGCGUGGGGGAAUGAAGGUCUUCGGAUUGUAAACCCCUGUCAUGUGGGAGCAAAUUAAAAAGAUAGUACCACAAGAGGAAGAGACGGCUAACUCUGUGCCAGCAGCCGCGGUAAUACAGAGGUCUCAAGCGUUGUUCGGAAUCACUGGGCGUAAAGCGUGCGUAGGCUGUUUCGUAAGUCGUGUGUGAAAGGCGCGGGCUCAACCCGCGGACGGAACAUGCUACUGCGAGACUAGGGAAAUGGAGGGGGAACGGGAAUUCUGGGUGUAGCAGGGAAGUGGGUAGAAAUCGGGAGGAACACUCGUGGCGAAGGCGGGUUCCUGGACAUUAACUGACGCUGAGGCACGAAGGCCAGGGGAGCGAAGGGAUUAGAUACCCGUGUAGUC